rnacentral:rRNA from 1 species
GAUCAUGGCUCAGGAUGAACGCUGGCGGCGUGCUUAACACAUGCAAGUCGAACGAAGCACUUUAUUACGAUUUCUUCGGAAUGACGAUUUAGUGACUGAGUGGCGGACGGGUGAGUAACGCGUGGGUAACCUGCCUUAUACAGGGGGAUAACAGUUGGAAACGACUGCUAAUACCGCAUAAGCGCACGGUAUCGCAUGAUACAGUGUGAAAAACUCCGGUGGUAUAAGAUGGACCCGCGUCUGAUUAGCUUGUUGGUGAGGUAACGGCCCACCAAGGCGACGAUCAGUAGCCGGCCUGAGAGGGUGAACGGCCACAUUGGGACUGAGACACGGCCCAAACUCCUACGGGAGGCAGCAGUGGGGAAUAUUGCACAAUGGGGGAAACCCUGAUGCAGCGACGCCGCGUGAGUGAUGAAGUAUUUCGGUAUGUAAAACUCUAUCAGCAGGGAAGAUAAUGACGGUACCUGACUAAGAAGCACCGGCUAAAUACGUG